UGAAAUGGGGACAAUUUUUGAUUGACAAUUUACAACAUUUUGCUGAUGGAAUGUUUUGUUUGAUUUCAUCACAGGAUUGUGACACUGAUGAGACGUGGGCAAAAGUAUCUGUCGGGGUGCUGACUGUUGUCAGUGAAGAUGAGCAAGUUGUUCCAAAUCAGCUCCACCUUCACCCAAUAUCUACUGCCAUCAUUGUUGAGGGAGGUAUUGUAAUGGACAAUGUCCAGAACCUGCCUGAGGCACUUUGCCUUUUGUUUGGAUUGUCAUACGCUUUACAUUUAGACUACCCAAAGGCCAUGAAAAACACUUUGGGCUUCAUUCAAAGAGUGAUGCUUGGCCUGGGAGAGAGCAAACUCCCACCAAAAUUGCAAAGUCUUAAAAAUCUCUUGUUGAGUUAGAAUGCAAAUGCACGAGUGGAUUCAGUUGUUUCUUAUUGUUCACUCUAUUAAAGUCAGCCCACGGGUUCAUCAGCAAGUUAGAGGCUGUAGAUGUUCGUACAUUCAUUCACACAGUGUGUUUCAGGGAGUGGCUGAAAAAACAGAAUGUGGAACAAGCAGAAUUGGAAGCCAGGGUGGGAAAGGCUGGAUGUUGCAUCUCCGAAAAAAUCAUGGACAUUAAUAGACAAAACAAAAAGGCCACUUAA